rnacentral:rRNA from 1 species
GAUGAACGCUGGCGGCGUGCCUAAUACAUGCAAGUCGAGCGAACAGACGAGGAGCUUGCUCCUCUGACGUUAGCGGCGGACGGGUGAGUAACACGUGGAUAACCUACCUAUAAGACUGGGAUAACUUCGGGAAACCGGAGCUAAUACCGGAUAAUAUAUUGAACCGCAUGGUUCAAUAGUGAAAGACGGUUUUGCUGUCACUUAUAGAUGGAUCCGCGCCGCAUUAGCUAGUUGGUAAGGUAACGGCUUACCAAGGCAACGAUGCGUAGCCGACCUGAGAGGGUGAUCGGCCACACUGGAACUGAGACACGGUCCAGACUCCUACGGGAGGCAGCAGUGGGGAAUAUUCCGCAAUGGGCGAAAGCCUGACGGAGCAACGCCGCGUGAAUGAUGAAGGUCUUCGGAUCGUAAAACUCUGUUAUUAGGGAAGAACAAAUGUGUAAGUAACUAUGCACGUCUUGACGGUACCUAAUCAGAAAGCCACGGCUAACUACGUG